AGAUAAGAGUGAACGGUAUGAGAUAAGAGUGAAGCGGUAUGAGAUAAGAUUGAAGGGUAUGAGAUAAGAGUGAACGGUAUGACGAUAAGAGUGAAGGCGUAUGAGAUAAGGUGAAGGGUAUGAGAUCAAGCGUUGAGGGUAUUGAGAUAAGAGUGAACGGUAUGAGAUAAGCAGUGAAGUGUAUGAGAUAAGAGUGAAUGUAUGAGAUAGAGUGAACGGUAUGAGAUAAGAUUGAAGUGUAUGAGAUAAGAGUGAAGGGUAUGAGAUAAGAUUGAACGGUAUGAUGAUAAGACGUGAACGGUAUGAGAUAAGUAGUGAAGGGUAUGAGUUAAGCGUGAAGUGGUAUGAGAUAAGGAUGAGGCGUAUGAGAUGAAGAGCUUGAACGGUUGAGAU